rnacentral:rRNA from 1 species
CAGUAGCCGCGGGAAUACAGAGGGUGCGAGCGUUAAUCGGAUUUACUGGGCGUAAAGCGCGCGUAGGUGGUUUGUUAAGUUGGAUGUGAAAUCCCCGGGCUCAACCUGGGAACUGCAUCCAAAACUGGCAAGCUAGAGUAUGGUAGAGGGUGGUGGAAUUUCCUGUGUAGCGGUGAAAUGCGUAGAUAUAGGAAGGAACACCAGUGGCGAAGGCGACCACCUGGACUGAUACUGACACUGAGGUGCGAAAGCGUGGGGAGCAAACAGGAUUAGAUACCCCCGUAGUCCCUGUCUCUUAUAC